UAGACACUGAAUUUGAUCGCUUUCUGUUUUAAAAUCUUUGUUGGCAACUGACAAAGAUGGAUUAAAGCUCCUUUAUUCCAUUACUUCAUAAAGAUUACAUGUGCAUGCAUAAACUAAAGAAAAAAGCUCCUCAUUACAUAGUUUUUUGCUAUAUAGUAUUAAAUUUUCUAUGCCUUCUUGAAGACAACGCUGAGAGGGGAUUCUUUUACAGCCAAAUGUUUUUUGUUAUUGAAGAUUACCGGACCAACGUCUCCACAGAUAACCCUGCACUUUUUGCAAACAGUCGGACAGUACUGAAUCUUAUAGUCUUUAUGUUCCUUCUGAAUCUUGAACCAGUUGGGCAAAGUUUCAGGCCCAGGUUUCCCUUCAACUCCACCAACUGUCACGAAUUGUUGCUUGCUGGCGUCGAAUUUCCAGACCUUGGAUUCGUGGCAUGGCGUCGUGUGCUUGAAAUCAGUGAAUUUUAUAUUCAAAUCAGUGUUGAGUUGGAUAGUUUUGUCGUGUGCAUUGGCAGAGGAAAAGGUAACUGGAAGGCCAUUGGCUGGUUCGCUCAGAAUUUGAACGAUUUCAUAGGGACAUUUGCCUUUGUUGGGUGCUAAAGUGAGGCCGGAACCUGCACCGGGGUAAGAUGGAAGUAUGUAGUACUUGACGCCGGGUCGAACUGGAUGGCCCUCCGUGUCGAGCACUGGUUCAGAAGAACCUGUGAAGAAGUUUGUUGAGAGUAGUGCAACAAGGAAGAAUGAAAACAUCAUCGUUUUCUCCAUUUUUGAUAUCAGUUGGAAUUUGAUUUGAAUGCUUAUGUGCAUGGAGUAGUACG
rnacentral:lncRNA from 1 species